UUUUAAGGAUUAAAAUUUUAAAUAAAUGUGCGAAUUGGGAAAUUGGGAAUUUUAAAAUCACGUGCUUACUAAUGCUUAAGUUUCAGUAAGGGUAAAAUAGAGAAAUUGUGAAAUGUGAUCUGAGGUGAUUAAAACAAUUUAGGUUUGGAGAAAUGUCGUGUGCGAAAUUGGGGAAAUAGGGUUCGUGGUGGUCGGGAAUUGGGGAACAACGGUGAGCGGUGAGCGGUGCUUUAUAUCAGAGAUUUGGCUGACAAAAAGGCACGUUUUGGGAGAUAAUCAUCAUCUAUCGGUGGUUUUGUCGUGGAAAGGUGUGGAGAAUUUGGUUGCACGUGUUGAGGUUAGUAUAUCGUGUUUUUUGGAUAAUGUGGCAUGUAAAAUUGUAUUGUUACUUUCGAUAUUGGUCCCCCC
rnacentral:lncRNA from 1 species